CCUACGGGAGGCAGCAGUGAGGAAUAUUGGUCAAUGGGCGGGAGCCUGAACCAGCCAAGCCGCGUGAGGGAAGAAGGUCCUGCGUAUCGUAAACCUCUUUUGUCAGGGAACAAAGGCGGGGACUAGUACCCGGAUGAGGGUACCUGACGAAAAAGCAUCGGAAAACCCCGUGCCAGCAGCCGCGGUAAUACGGGGGAUGCGAUCGUUAGCCGGAUUUAUGGGGGUAAAGGGGUGCGCAGGCGGCGUGUUAAGUCAGCGGUAAAAGCCCGGGGCUCAACCCCGGCGAGCCGUUGAAACUGGCGGGCUAGAGUUGGGGAGAGGUACGCAGAAUUCGCGGUGUAGCGGUGAAAUGCGUAGAUAUCGCGCGGAACACCGAUUGCGAAGGCGGCGUACUGGAUAAAGACUGACGCUGAGGUACGAAAGCGUGGGGAGCGAACAGGAUUAGAUACCCGUGUAGUC
rnacentral:rRNA from 1 species